GGUUAGGCUUUACUUAAAGCCAUUAAUUUUUUUUUUUAAAGUUAAAU
rfam:Erinaceus europaeus unplaced genomic scaffold scaffold00882, whole genome shotgun sequence